rnacentral:rRNA from 1 species
AUUGAACGCUGGCGGCAGGCCUAACACAUGCAAGUCGAACGAGCGGCGGACGGGUGAGUAAUGUCUGGGAAACUGCCCGAUGGAGGGGGAUAACUACUGGAAACGGUAGCUAAUACCGCAUACUAUCAGAUGUGCCCAUAUGGGAUUAGCUAGUUGGUGGGGUAACGGCUCACCUAGGCGACGAUCUCUAGCUGGUCUGCGAGGAUGAUCAGCCACACUGGAACUGAGACACGGUCCAGACUCCUACGGGAGGCAGCAGUGGGGAAUAUUGCACAAUGGGCGCAAGCCUGAUGCAGCCAUGCCGCGUGUAUGAAGAAGGCCUUCGGGUUGGAAAGUACUUUCAGCGGGGAGGCGUUACCCGCAGAAGAAGCACCGGCUAACUCCGUGCCAGCAGCCGCGGUAAUAC